rnacentral:rRNA from 1 species
AUAAGCAACAAAGGGCAGUUGGCGGAUGCCUAGGCUCUCAAUAGCGAUGAAGGACGUGAUAAGCUGCGAUAAGCCAUACUGAGAUGCAAAUAAUCGUUUAAGUAUGGAUUUCCGAAUGGGGUAACCCGGCAUGUUGAAGACAUGUCACCGAAAGGUGCUAACCCGGUGAACUGAAACAUCUAAGUAACCGGAGGAAUAGAAAACAAUUAGUGAUUCCCUAAGUAGCGGCGAGCGAACGGGGAACAGCCCAAACCAACCUUGUUUCGGCAUGGUUGGGGUUGUAGGACAGAAAUAAAUCUAACAAAGAUCUGCAGAAUAUACCUGGAAAGGUAAGCAGUAUAGGGUGAUAGCCCCGUAUGUAGGUUGGCGUGUGACGUUCUGUAUCCUGAGUAGCGCGGGACAUGUGAAAUCCUGUGUGAAUCCACCAGAACCAUCUGGUAAGGCUAAAUAUAUUGAGAGACCGAUAGCGAACAAGUACCGUGAGGGAAAGGUGAAAAGUACCCUGAACAAGGGAGUGAAAUAGUACCUGAAACCAGCUGUCUACAAGCGGUCGAAGCCUACGGGCGACGGCGUGCCUUUUGCAUAAUGAUCCUACGAGUUACUCCUCUCUAGCAAGGUUAAGGACUUCAGGUCCGGAGCCGAAGCGAAAGCAAGUCUUAAAUAGGCGUAUAGUUAGGGGGGGUAGACGCGAAACCUGGUGAUCUACCCAUGGUCAGGUUGAAGCUUCGGUAAUACGAAGUGGAGGACCGAACCCGGAGAUGUUGAAAAAUCUUGGGAUGAACUGUGGGUAGGGGUGAAAGGCCAAUCAAACCAGGAAAUAGCUCGUUCUCCCCGAAAUGCAUUUAGGUGCAGCGUCGGAAUCGAGUGUCAUAGAGGUAGAGCUACUGAUUGGGCUAGGGGGCUUCACCGCCUACCAAACCCUAAUAAACUCCGAAUGCUAUGACAUAUAUCCGGCAGUGAGGGCAUGGGUGCUAAGGUCCAUGUCCGAGAGGGAAACAACCCAGACUAUCUGCUAAGGUCCCCAAAUCGGGGCUAAGUUCAUCUAACGUGGUGCGGCUGCAUUGACAGCUAGGAUGUUGGCUUGGAAGCAGCCAUUCAUUUAAAGAGUGCGUAACAG